UAAAGAAAAGACAAAACAUUACCAUAAAUAUUUUUACUUUUCUUGAAAGGAAAAUAUAAUAUUCUUUCAUAUUUGGUUUAUUCUUUCCUUUUAGGAAGAGGUUUUGGAGUAGCUAGUUCUUUUAUAGUAGGAAAAGUUUUAGGACUCUAUAAAUAUAAGUUUGUUUCUUCUAACACAAUAACAAUAACAUCCACAAUGUAGUCGUUUAAGAGUCUUGUUUAUGGGGAGAUUUAUUCUCUCUAAAGUUUCAAUGUUUUUCUUUAUAUUAGUUUUGAUAUAAUAAUAUUUUGAUUUUUAGUAUAAGUUUUUGUUAUCUGAUUUAUCA
rnacentral:lncRNA from 1 species